AGUGAACGCUGGCGGUAGGCCUAACACAUGCAAGUCGAACGGCAGCACAGUAAGAGCUUGCUCUUACGGGUGGCGAGUGGCGGACGGGUGAGGAAUACAUCGGAAUCUACUUUUUCGUGGGGGAUAACGUAGGGAAAAUUACGCUAAUACCGCAUACGACCUACGGGUGAAAGCAGGGGAUCUUCGGACCUUGCGCGAUUGAAUGAGCCGAUGUCGGAUUAGCUAGUUGGCGGGGUAAAGGCCCACCAAGGCGACGAUCCGUAGCUGGUCUGAGAGGAUGAUCAGCCACACUGGAACUGAGACACGGUCCAGACUCCUACGGGAGGCAGCAGUGGGGAAUAUUGGACAAUGGGCGCAAGCCUGAUCCAGCCAUACCGCGUGUGUGAAGAAGGCCUUCGGGUUGUAAAGCCCUUUUGUUGGGAAAGAAAAGCAGCAGGUUAAUACCCCGCGGUUCUGACGGUACCCAAAGAAUAAGCACCGGCUAACUACGUG
rnacentral:rRNA from 1 species